rnacentral:rRNA from 1 species
GCCGCGUGUGUGAAGAAGGCCUUAUGGUUGUAAAGCACUUUACAGCGACGAGGAGCUACUAAGUUAAUACCUAUAGAUAGUGGACGUUACUCGCACAAUAAGCACCGGCUAACUCUGUGCCACAGCCGCGGUAAUACAGAGGGUGCAAGCGUUAAUCGGAUUUACUGGGCGUAAAGCGCGCGUAGGCGGCUAAUUAAGUCAAAUGUGAAAUCCCCGAGCUUAACUUGGGAAUUGCAUUCGAUACUGGUUAGCUAGAGUGUGGGAGAGGAUGGUAGAAUUCCAGGUGUAGCGGUGAAAUGCGUAGAGAUCUGGAGGAAUACCGAUGGCGAAGGCAGCCAUCUGGCCUAACACUGACGCUGAGGUGCGAAAGCAUGGGGAGCAAACAGGAUUAGAUACCCUGGUAGUCCAUGCCGUAAACGAUGUCUACUAGCCGUUGGGGCCUUUGAGGCUUUAGUGGCGCAGCUAACGCGAUAAGUAGACCGCCUGGGGAGUACGGUCGCAAGACUAAAACUCAAAUGAAUUGACGGGGGCCCGCACAAGCGGUGGAGCAUGUGGUUUAAUUCGAUGCAACGCGAAGAACCUUACCUGGCCUUGACAUAGUAAGACCUUUCCGAGAUGGAUUGGUGCUUCGGGAACUUACUACGGGGCUGCUGGUUGCGCAGUCGUGUCGGAGAUGUGGGCAGUCCCCAAGAGGGCACCUUUC